rnacentral:rRNA from 1 species
UGGGGAAUUUUGGACAAUGGGGGAAACCCUGAUCCAGCCAUCCCGCGUGUGCGAUGAAGGCCUUCGGGUUGUAAAGCACUUUUGGCAGGAAAGAAACGUCAUGGGUUAAUACCCCGUGAAACUGACGGUACCUGCAGAAUAAGCACCGGCUAACUACGUGCCAGCAGCCGCGGUAAUACGUAGGGUGCAAUCGUUAAUCGGAAUUACUGGGCGUAAAGCGUGCGCAGGCGGUUCGGAAAGAAAGAUGUGAAAUCCCAGAGCUCAACUUUGGAACUGCAUUUUUAACUACCGGGCUAGAGUGUGUCAGAGGGAAGUGGAAUUCCGCGUGUAGCAGUGAAAUGCGUAGAUAUGCGGAGGAACACCGAUGGCGAAGGCAGCCUCCUGGGAUAACACUGACGCUCAUGCACGAAAGCGUGGGGAGCAAACAGG